GGACUAAGAACAGCAAGGCAAGGCAGCACCCUGAACACUGUGAAUCUACAGUCACCAUGGAUUUGUCUUGGAUAUAGCUCUUAUGUUCCAGAGUCCCAAGCAGAAAGGGACUUCCAAUGAGAUUUAGACCUCAGACUCCCCUGCCUAAGAGCUCAAUUUUCCUUACCAUGAGUUUUUACUUCAUAUACAUUUUUCCAUCCAUCGAGAGCUCCAAGAACAAGGGAGAAACUGUUAUUAGGGACCUGAAAGGAAAGGGCUUAGACAAGGGCUAUGUGAAGGAGGUCUUGGCGGGUAGAUGGAAUCACUCUUCAUGGAGAAGGCCUUCCCUUUUCUUCCAUGACUGACAAUCUGCCUUAGGUCACUUCCCAAGGCUUUCUGCUAAUCUCAUGUCACUAUGCUCUGUGGACCCAGCAAAGUGCAUAAACUAAUUGGAGCGUGUUCCUUAAGAGAGGGCGCAGACAUGGAGAGAAGAUUCUUCAGUGCGUUUGGAAUGCUUGCUAGAAGCUCAGAGCACAGAGGAGAAAAAAAUGCAUGGAAGGAAGUCUUUAAUUCUCAGCCACCUUCAUGGAUGGAUACUUUGACUGUUCCUUCUCCUUACCAAGGGUCCAGAAGGAAACUCACGCAAUCUCUUAUAGGUAAGAAUGUUAAUCUUGUCACAAGGUGUGCCAUACCAGCAAUGGCCACCUGGUGGUGGUAGAGGUACAUUUGCUGUCCCAGAAGCGAGUGGAGCUGCUUACCUACUCUGCUUUAGCUUGAGACUAUUAAUGCU
rnacentral:lncRNA from 1 species